AGCAUAUCAGAAGGCACACCCGGAGAACUGAAACAUCUUAGUAACCGGAGGAAGAGAAAGAAAAUUCGAUUCCCUUAGUAGCGGCGAGCGAAACGGGAAGAGCCCAAACCAACAAGCUUGCUUGUUGGGGUUGUAGGACACUCUAUACGGAGUUACAAAGGACGACAUUAGACGAAUCAUCUGGAAAGAUGAAUCAAAGAAGGUAAUAAUCCUGUAGUCGAAAAUGUUGUCUCUCUUGAGUGGAUCCUGAGUACGACGGAGCACGUGAAAUUCCGUCGGAAUCUGGGAGGACCAUCUCCUAAGGCUAAAUACUCUCUAGUGACCGAUAGUGAACCAGUACCGUGAGGGAAAGGUGAAAAGCACCCCGGAAGGGGAGUGAAAUAGAACCUGAAACCGUGUGCUUACAAGUAGUCAGAGCCCGUUAAUGGGUGAUGGCGUGCCUUUUGUAGAAUGAACCGGCGAGUUACGAUUUGAUGCAAGGUUAAGCAGUAAAUGUGGAGCCGUAGCGAAAGCGAGUCUGAAUAGGGCGUUUAGUAUUUGGUCGUAGACCCGAAACCAGGUGAUCUACCCUUGGUCAGGUUGAAGUUCAGGUAACACUGAAUGGAGGACCGAACCGACUUACGUUGAAAAGUGAGCGGAUGAACUGAGGGUAGCGGAGAAAUUCCAAUCGAACCUGGAGAUAGCUGGUUCUCUCCGAAAUAGCUUUAGGGCUAGCCUCAAGUGAUGAUUAUUGGAGGUAGAGCACUGUUUGGACGAGGGGCCCCUCUCGGGUUACCGAAUUCAGACAAACUCCGAAUGCCAAUUAAUUUAACUUGGGAGUCAGAACAUGGGUGAUAAGGUCCGUGUUCGAAAGGGAAACAGCCCAGACCACCAGCUAAGGUCCCAAAAUAUAUGUUAAGUGGAAAAGGAUGUGGCGUUGCCCAGACAACUAGGAUGUUGGCUUAGAAGCAGCCAUCAUUUAAAGAGUGCGUAAUAGCUCACUAGUCGAGUGACACUGCGCCGAAAAUGUACCGGGGCUAAACAUAUUACCGAAGCUGUGGAUUGUCCUUUGGACAAUGGUAGGAGAGCGUUCUAAGGGCGUUGAAGCAUGAUCGUAAGGACAUGUGGAGCGCUUAGAAGUGAGAAUGCCGGUGUGAGUAGCGAAAGACGGGUGAGAAUCCCGUCCACCGAUUGACUAAGGUUUCCAGAGGAAGGCUCGUCCGCUCUGGGUUAGUCGGGUCCUAAGCUGAGGCCGACAGGCGUAGGCGAUGGAUAACAGGUUGAUAUUCCUGUACCACCUAUAAUCGUUUUAAUCGAUGGGGGGACGCAGUAGGAUAGGCGAAGCGUGCGAUUGGAUUGCACGUCUAAGCAGUAAGGCUGAGUAUUAGGCAAAUCCGGUACUCGUUAAGGCUGAGCUGUGAUGGGGAGAAGACAUUGUGUCUUCGAGUCGUUGAUUUCACACUGCCGAGAAAAGCCUCUAGAUAGAAAAUAGGUGCCCGUACCGCAAACCGACACAGGUAGUCAAGAUGAGAAUUCUAAGGUGAGCGAGCGAACUCUCGUUAAGGAACUCGGCAAAAUGACCCCGUAACUUCGGGAGAAGGGGUGCUCUUUAGGGUUAACGCCCAGAAGAGCCGCAGUGAAUAGGCCCAAGCGACUGUUUAUCAAAAACACAGGUCUCUGCUAAACCGUAAGGUGAUGUAUAGGGGCUGACGCCUGCCCGGUGCUGGAAGGUUAAGAGGAGUGGUUAGCUUCUGCGAAGCUACGAAUCGAAGCCCCAGUAAACGGCGGCCGUAACUAUAACGGUCCUAAGGUAGCGAAAUUCCUUGUCGGGUAAGUUCCGACCCGCACGAAAGGCGUAACGAUUUGGGCACUGUCUCAACGAGAGACUCGGUGAAAUCAUAGUACCUGUGAAGAUGCAGGUUACCCGCGACAGGACGGAAAGACCCCGUGGAGCUUUACUGUAGCCUGAUAUUGAAAUUCGGCACAGCUUGUACAGGAUAGGUAGGAGCCUUUGAAACGUGAGCGCUAGCUUACGUGGAGGCGCUGGUGGGAUACUACCCUAGCUGUGUUGGCUUUCUAACCCGCACCACUUAUCGUGGUGGGAGACAGUGUCAGGCGGGCAGUUUGACUGGGGCGGUCGCCUCCUAAAAGGUAACGGAGGCGCUCAAAGGUUCCCUCAGAAUGGUUGGAAAUCAUUCAUAGAGUGUAAAGGCAUAAGGGAGCUUGACUGCGAGACCUACAAGUCGAGCAGGGUCGAAAGACGGACUUAGUGAUCCGGUGGUUCCGCAUGGAAGGGCCAUCGCUCAACGGAUAAAAGCUACCCCGGGGAUAACAGGCUUAUCUCCCCCAAGAGUUCACAUCGACGGGGAGGUUUGGCACCUCGAUGUCGGCUCAUCGCAUCCUGGGGCUGUAGUCGGUCCCAAGGGUUGGGCUGUUCGCCCAUUAAAGCGGUACGCGAGCUGGGUUCAGAACGUCGUGAGACAGUUCGGUCCCUAUCCGUCGUGGGCGUAGGAAAUUUGAGAGGAGCUGUCCUUAGUACGAGAGGACCGGGAUGGACAUACCUCUGGUGUACCAGUUGUCGUGCCAACGGCAUAGCUGGGUAGCUAUGUGUGGACGGGAUAAGUGCUGAAAGCAUCUAAGCAUGAAGCCCCCCUCAAGAUGAGAUUUCCCAACUUCGGUUAUAAGAUCCCUCAAAGAUGAUGAGGUUAAUAGGUUCGAGGUGGAAGCAUGGUGACAUGUGGAGCUGACGAAUACUAAUCGAUCGAAGACUUAAUCAA
rnacentral:rRNA from 1 species